rnacentral:tRNA from 1 species
GGAGGGGUACCGUAACGGUAACGGACCGGUCUUGAAAACCGGCGCCCUACGGGGCUUGCGGGUUCGAAUCCCGCCCCCUCCGCCA